GAUGUCAAAUAUGAUGGCUCAACCAUCAAGAGGCGUUGAAAACUGUUUAUCUAGAAUCUCGGAGAGGUAAGUGGAAUUCCAUGUGUAGCGGUGGAAUGCGUAGAUAUAUGGAGGAACACCAAUGGCGAAGGCAGCUUACUGGACGAAGAUUGACGCUGAGGUGCGAAAGCGUGGGUAGCAAACAGGAUUAGAUACCCUGGUAG
rnacentral:rRNA from 1 species